CGCAGCUACCUGUACUUGUCUUCCUUGGGCAGGAGCGAGCAAAGACAGAAAGCACAAGUGGUCCGUCUGCAAUUAGAAUUUGAUUGGGUGAUGGGAAAGAAUGGUUGGAGACCCAAGGCACCUUUACAGAGACGAAGAGGGCACACAAGAGGAAUAACUCGGCCAGAAAUCUGUUUUUGUAUGGAGGUCAAUGAGUGUCGAAUUUGGUCAACAAAAAAUAUGGCGCUGAAGACACACCAAGACCUGGAACAAGCUGAAGGCAGCUGCAAGAGCGGGACCAGUUUAUGCCCGGUGAACCCUCACAUGCUUCCUAAUAAUUUAUUCUCUGCAAUUAUUCAAUCAUCCAAAGCAGCCCAAAACCAGUCAUAAAUCCAUCACUCUUUUGUAAACUGAGAUAUAAAACCACUUAUGUAACUAAUGUGUUUUUGCUGUUUUUAACUUGCAGUUAAUGGAACAUGUGUUUGUAAAAUGGUUGAACAAUCAUGCAUCAAGUCACUAUUAACCAGAAAAUGUGUGUUAUAAUUCUGUACUACAUUAUCAAUGGUAAGUGCAGUCUUUCUACUGUGUGGCAUAAAGGACAGGUCAUAGCCUGCAUUUAAACAAGCAUUAUACACCGUAUUACAAAUGAGGAAAUGUUGUGAUUUUAGUGAAUGUACACCUUUUCAUAUGUUUAACUACCUAAUCUACAUACUUCAAAAAUAAUACGUCAGUUCCCUCUGCAAUUAAAAACGCAUGACAUACCCCCUUUAUAAAUGAAAAAAGUUUAUUUGUUAGUGCGGUGUGUAUUGAAUGCUACAUACAGAUAUCUUAGCAUGAAUGUACACAUACUGUACGUUGUCACGUAAUUAUUUUUUUACUACGUCAUUCACAUACAAUUUGAAAAAAAGUUAUAUGAGGAAUAAGUACUAUCUGAAGCACUAAUACCUGGGACAGAUUACAGGAACUAACACAGUAAGCAUGCACAGAACAGAGAAAACAGGGUCAACAGGCAGGGGCUAACUGUUAUGCACUACACUAGAUCAAAAUUCAUGUCAAUCACAUUCCUAAUGACCCUUCCAUCAAUCAAACUCCCCCCCUACAUCCCAAAGGCCCUGUUAACUCCUUCCAAGAAUAUAGAUAUUCAUAUAGAUUUUAAACAAUGUUUAUAUAAAUGUGGUAUUAAUAAACUGAAAAAAAAUAAACCGUAUACAGUACUUUUACAAAAAUAAGACAUUCCUAACUGCUCUUUUAUGUUGUCUUAAUGCCAGAUGAAAGACAUGAACACAUUUAACAAAAGACAGACGAAGACAAAUGACACCAAAUGUUAGCCUACCCACAUGAGUACAAGGAACAGAGCAACAACAUGGAGGCAGUCAGAUCUGGAGUAGAAUGGGUUUCUAAUUAACCCUUACCCCAGAUUAAGGCCAAACAGUCUUAACUGAAACUCAUUAUAAACAGAACCUUCCUCAAAAUGAUAAUUACCUUCUCCUAUCAUAAAAUACUUUAUCAAUACUGCACUCAAACCACAAAUCCACCACCAAAUGGGACAAAACAAGUCCCCUUGAAAUGCUUCACUUGCAAAAAACAAAACAAAACAAAUACCUGCACACACCAAAAAUACCAAAUUGAGGUCAAUUUGAGCCACAUUGAAUUUGACUUCAAAGUUGACACCGAUUUUAGCCUUAUUCUUGAGUGCCUUACUACUUACAGACUAGAGGGUAAAUCCAUUAUUUUUGCAAUUAAGCUGUAGCAGCCCAUUUUGGUAAGGAUGCUAGCUUUUUUUUAAAGGCCAUAAAAACCAGAAGUUAGCAUGACCUGCACAAAUAUACUGCAGAUAAGUUUCUCUGACAUAAAUUGGGUUAGCUAAAACUACAGACCUGCCCAAGUUCUACCCCAAAUGUAUGUAUUAUACAAUCCACUUCACAGCCAGGAUUCCAUUUUCACAGACAUGAUUUAACAAUCAUUCAUCAUAAAAACCUCAAAAGAGCAUGAGUGGUCAGAAUCCUUGUAGGGCUUACAGACAGAAUCUUCUCCUUGGAAACUUGCAACAUACAAUCUAUCCUAACUAUGACUUUAAAGAAGAAGAAAAACAUUUCAGUCCCCAUAUGAUAAAAAGUAGUAACAUAUAAAACAGCCAAUGCAGUUUUAGAAACAGACAAUGGAACUGGUAAACAUACUCAAAUACAUACUGUACUAUAUACACGCAGUAAGAGGAAGCUUGAUCAGGUUUUAGACAUUUUCAGCACAGAGUCUACACUGAUCUCUGUAGGAAUAUGAACUGUAUAUUAGUGUGAAAUAUAGAUUUCUAUACAAUUUCUAUAUAGCAGUGAGAUGAUACUUCAGCUGGUUAAUCUCCACACCUUUGGGAUCUGGUGCAGUACAAUGGUGUUUUGAUACAAACAUAUACUUCCAAAUACACACAAGCAUUUGUAAUAUUUCACAAUAGCACAAUAAACCCUCAUGUAAAAAAAAAAAAAAACG